rnacentral:rRNA from 1 species
AGUGAACGCUGGCGGUAGGCCUAACACAUGCAAGUCGAACGGCAGCACAGUAAGAGCUUGCUCUUACGGGUGGCGAGUGGCGGACGGGUGAGGAAUACAUCGGAAUCUACUUUUUCGUGGGGGGUAACGUAGGGAAACUUACGCUAAUACCGCAUACGACCUACGGGUGAAAGCGGGGGAUCUUCGGACCUUGCGCGAUUGAAUGAGCCGAUGUCGGAUUAGCUAGUUGGCGGGGUAAAGGCCCACCAAGGCGACGAUCCGUAGCUGGUCUGAGAGGAUGAUCAGCCACACUGGAACUGAGACACGGUCCAGACUCCUACGGGAGGCAGCAGUGGGGAAUAUUGGACAAUGGGCGCAAGCCUGAUCCAGCCAUACCGCGUGGGUGAAGAAGGCCUUCGGGUUGUAAAGCCCUUUUGUUGGGAAAGAAAAGCAGCAGGUUAAUACCCCGCUGUUCUGACGGUACCCAAAGAAUAAGCACCGGCUAACUUCGUG